rnacentral:misc_RNA from 1 species
UGAUGGCGGCCACCUCACUGCGGUAUUAGGGACCCGUACCCACACCCUGCGCAAAAGCCAGGAACCUGAAGCCUGCCCUCCUCAGGCACGGCUGCAGAUACUUGAUGUCGGCAGACAGGGCUGCGCGGGCGCUGCGCCGAAGACACUAGCGGUGAUCAUCAUGAAGUUUGAAGCCGCUCCCUCCGAAUUUCGUCGACGGUUCCGCAAACAGUCACGUAUCCGUCCCGGUCAGAGGCGCGCGUUCUCACGAUAGGGAAUGGAAUGCGCGUGCACUCAGAGACUCAUGGCUACCCCCUCCCCCUCCCCCCUUCGUUCCAUCUGCCACGGCAGAGGCGGGCGAGCCUGCCAGACACGCCGCCGACGCAUGGCACCGAUGGAAACGCCAGAUGAAGACGGCGAGACCAUACCCCCUUCCCCACGGCCCGACCCGAGAAGGCCGUCGUGAAACAGGCCCCGGGGUGCGGGGAUGCGGGGACUGCGCGGGCGCGCUGCCACGCACCGCUGGGGCGCGGCGUCCCGGUGGUGGGCAGGGCAAGGGCGGCGUUCGACAGGAAACGGCGCGAAGAGGCGCCGCACGGGACAGCGCCAAAGCGGGCACGCGUGGCGUCAUAGGCGGCAUCGUCUCCAUCCGGCGGGGUGGGCUCCAUGAGGCACCGAUGCCGGAUGCACGACGUGCGCAGCCCGAGGUGCGCGAGCGGGGCUCCUCCAGACCCCCAUGCGGAGAGUCCCCGCCCCGCGCUACGGGAUGCCGCGGGCUGAGGCGACUUGGGGGACGGGGGGGGGAGGGACGCAUGGCAUACAGGCAGGAUGUGCAAGGUCGCACAGGUCCCACCCCCCGGCCUGCGGCUGGUGGCCUUCCUCCCUGAGCGCGUCCUGCAGCGCACCUGGACGGUCCACUGCCUCCGCCCUCGCGCAUGUUACCCCGGACGCGGCCCGCUUUGGCGCGAGGCAUGCAGUCCACGCCGCGUCUCCGUCGGGCGCCGAUGGCGCGGCACGCGGCCGGUGAAGGGGGCGAGGAAGGACAUGCAGAGGCCCAUAGGACGCACGGCCCGGCUCCGCGGCAGGGCGGCUCGUCCUGGACGGCGAGGGUGCAGCUGUGGUGCAUGGGCGGUAGGUGGCCUGAGGCUGUGCACGCGUGCGUUUGGUGACUUUGUCGUGGUGGAACGGAGGCCUGGAAGUAAAGCAAGGAGUUUUUGUUACCGGGACACGCGCACUGGGCCCGAACCCUCCGGCGUGCAGGGAUGCCCCCUCCCCCUUCCCCGGACUCGUCUGCCACAUCUCCACUAUCAAG